rnacentral:lncRNA from 11 species
GUGGUUUUCUUGUACUGAUUUUUUGUCUGCUGUGCUUUGAGGAGUUUCUGAUUUUGGACUUCAAUCAAAGCAGGUUCUUCACUUUGCUUGACAUAUUCUGCCAGGGCAUGUUCUUCUUCUUUGACUGCUUGCUUUACUUGUAAGAGUCCUCUGCCCCCUGAUCUUCUAGGCAGAUAUAGCCGGUCAACAUCACUGCGAGGGUGCAGUGAAUGAUGAAUGGUCAUGAGUUUUCUUGUUUUUCUGUCCAAAUUGUCCAGUUCCGCCUGUGUCCAAUUUAUAAUGCCAGCAGUAUAUCUUAUGACAGGUGAUUGGCUGACCCUGGGCAGAUCCAUGGACCGCGGGGUGACCAUCAAGAACCCUUAUGCCAGCGUGAGCCUCCCGCGUUCGCAGCCUCAAGGAGGACUUCCUCCGCUACUCCCUGGGCGAGGACCAGGCCCGGGCGCCGUGCUCUACAGCCCCAG